rnacentral:lncRNA from 1 species
CUGGGUUCUGUUGUUGGCAACCAACAGAGUUGUUGUCUUUUCUCGCAUUCAUUAAAAUGCACAAGAAGAAAUUUCUAAUGGUGAGGGAGUACUUGCUUCAAAUUCAUACUUCAGUGAAAUAAACAACACCAUACAUAGGAAUGUGAAAGCAAAGUCAUCAUACACUGUUUGCUUCAUUGUAUGAGAAUCAAUGUUUGCAUGAUAAACUGCCCUAAUGGAAGAGGACUCUGAGUUACCUUUUUCGAGCAAAGCCACCUAGGUUACUCUGUUUUCCCCAGAGUGACCCUUCUGUUCUGCAAAUUUUCAGAUUGAAGGGAGUAGCAGUAGAGUAUCAGAAGUAUCAGAAGCAAAAAAGUAAAUGUAUGAUUUGCAAAGCAUAACAAAAUGAAAAAUAAGCUUCUGCAGUCAUGGAAGUUCAGAAUUGGAUAACAACUUAGAUUAUUUAUUCCAACCUCAUCGAAAAAGAGAUAAAGACAUGGAAUUCAGGAAAAGUGAAAUCUACUUAAAUGUACCAAUCACAGCAGAGUCUUUUGGAACUUAAACAUCUUGACUCUUCUGUUUAAAGCCUAAAUCAACCUGAGAGAAGAGAUGAAACAACUGAGGGCCAAAAAGUUUACAAAAUUUUCCAAGAUCAUACAGCUAAUUAACAACAUCUGGGCUCUUCUUGACUUUUGGAAUCCAAAAGGUGCUACCAGCAUCCCAAGGUGUCCAGCUUGUAGACAGCCUGUCGUGGGACUUCUCAACCUCCAUAAUUGUGUAAGCCAAGUUCCCUAAUUAAUUCAUAAAUUCUCUCUCUCUCUCUCUUGCUCGGUCUUGCUCUACUGUUUGUUAUGUCUGGAAAACUCGGACUAAUACACUAUUUAACACCU